rnacentral:rRNA from 1 species
UUCCGGUUGAUCCUGCCGGAGGUCACUGCUUUUGGGGUUCGAUUAAGCCAUGCGAGUCGAGAGGGUUCGGCCCUCGGCGUACUGCUCAGUAACACGUGGAUAACCUGCCCUAGGGAAGGGGAUAAUCCCGGGAAACUGGGGAUAAUACCCUAUAGGUUACAGAUGCUGGAAUGCUCUGUAAUCAAAAGUUCUGGCGCCCUAGGAUGGAUCUGCGGCCGAUUAGGUUGUUGUUGGGGUAAUGGCCCAACAAGCCAGUAAUCGGUACGGGUUGUGGGAGCAAGAGCCCGGAGUUGGAUUCUGAGACACGAAUCCAGGCCCUACGGGGCGCAGCAGGCGCGAAAACUUUACAAUGCGGGCAACCGUGAUAAGGGAACCUCGAGUGCCUGUAAAUGCAGGCUGUUCAGAUGCCUAAAACACAUCUGGAGAAAGGGCCGGGCAAGACCGGUGCCAGCCGCCGCGGUAAUACCGGCGGCUCGAGUGGUGGCCACUUUUAUUGGGCUUAAAGCGUUCGUAGCUGGGUUGUUAAGUCUCUUGGGAAAUCUUGGCGGCUUAACCGUCAAGCGUCUAAGGGAUACUGGCA